rnacentral:rRNA from 1 species
ACUCAAAUGAAUAGACGGGGGCCCGCACAAGCGGUGGAGCAUGUGGUUUAAUUCGACGCAACGCGAAGAACCUUACCUGGGCUCGAACGGCUUCGGACAGUUCCUGGAAACAGGGAUUUCCCGCAAGGGACCGGAGUCGAGGUGCUGCAUGGCUGUCGUCAGCUCGUGUCGUGAGAUGUUGGGUUAAGUCCCGCAACGAGCGCAACCCUUGUCCUGUGUUGCCAUCAUUCAGUUGGGCACUCUCAGGAGACCGCCAGCGAUAAGUUGGAGGAAGGUGGGGAUGAUGUCAAGUCAUCAUGGCCUUUAUGUCCAGGGCUACACACGUGCUACAAUGGGCGGUACAAUGCGCUGCCAACCCGUAAGGGGGAGCUAAUCGCAAAAAACCGUCCUCAGUUCGGAUCGCAGGCUGCAACUCGCCUGCGUGAAGCUGGAAUCGCUAGUAAUGGCGUAUCAGAAUGAUGCCGUGAAUACGUUCCCGGGCCUUGUACACACCGCCCGU